UACGUACGAGGCGAGCGUUAUCCGGAAUUACUGGGCGUAAAGCGCACGUAGGCGGAUCAGUCAGUCAGGGGUGAAAUCCCGGGGCUCAACCCCGGAACUGCCUUUGAUACUGCUGGUCUGGAGGAUGGGAGAGGCGAGUGGAAUUCCGAGUGUAGAGGUGAAAUUCGUAGAUAUUCGGAGGAACACCAGUGGCGAAGGCGGCUCGCUGGCCCAUUUCUGACGCUGAGGUGCGAAAGCGUGGGGAGCAAACAGG
rnacentral:rRNA from 1 species